GACGAACGCUGGCAGCGUGCUUAACACAUGCAAGUCGAACGGAAAGGCCCUGCUUGCCGGGUGCUCGAGUGGCGAACGGGUGAGUAACACGUGGGUGAUCUGCCCCUUACUUUGGGAUAAGCCUGGGAAACUGGGUCUAAUACUGGAUAGGACCAUGCUGUAGGUGGUGUGGUGGAAAGAUUAGUUUCGGUAAGGGAUGAGCUCGCGGCCUAUCAGCUUGUUGGUGGGGUAAUGGCCUACCAAGGCGUCGACGGGUAGCCGGCCUGAGAGGGUGGACGGCCACAUUGGGACUGAGAUACGGCCCAGACUCCUACGGGAGGCAGCAGUGGGGAAUAUUGCACAAUGGGAGCAAGCCUGAUGCAGCGACGCCGCGUGGGGGAUGACGGCCUGCGGGUUGUAAACUCCUUUCAGCCAUGACGAAGCCCUUGUGGUGACGGUAGUGGUAGAAGAAGCACCGGCUAACUACGUG
rnacentral:rRNA from 1 species